UCCUCAUUCCAUCCCAGAUCGCCUGCGGAUCAGAGUGAACAGGAUUAAUUUACAAGAAUAUGAGGGGCUACAUUACGACAAGGAAAAACUCCGGGAAGCUUCCAUUCCCUUAGGAAUUAUAGUGGUACGAGGAGACUGUGACUUGGAGACCUGUCGUAUGUACAUUGACCGUCUACAAGAGGACCUACAGUCGGUAACUUCUACUACACAGAGAGUGCAUUACCAGGACCAAGAAAGCUCUUUCCCCAGAGUACUUUCUGUUCAGAGGCUCUCUCCUAGAUGGUGCUUCCUAGACGCAACUUCUGCUGAUCGUUUUU